ACUAAGCGUACACGGUGGAUGCCCUGGCAGUCAGAGGCGAUGAAGGACGUGCUAAUCUGCGAAAAGCGUCGGUAAGGUGAUAUGAACCGUUAUAACCGGCGAUGUCCGAAUGGGGAAACCCAGUGCAAUUCGUUGCACUAUCGUUAACUGAAUACAUAGGUUAACGAGGCGAACCGGGGGAACUGAAACAUCUAAGUACCCCGAGGAAAAGAAAUCAACCGAGAUUCCCCCAGUAGCGGCGAGCGAACGGGGAGCAGCCCAGAGUCUGAAUCAGCUUGUGUGUUAGUGGAACGGUCUGGAAAGUCCGACGGUACAGGGUGAUAGUCCCGUACACCAAAAUGCACAGGCUGUGAACUCGAAGAGUAGGGCGGGACACGUGGUAUCCUGUCUGAAUAUGGGGGGACCAUCCUCCAAGGCUAAAUACUCCUGACUGACCGAUAGUGAACCAGUACCGUGAGGGAAAGGCGAAAAGAACCCCGGCGAGGGGAGUGAAAAAGAACCUGAAACCGUGUACGUACAAGCAGUGGGAGCACCUUCGGGUGUGACUGCGUACCUUUUGUAUAAUGGGUCAGCGACUUAUAUUCUGUAGCAAGGUUAACCGUAUAGGGGAGCCGCAGGGAAACCGAGUCUUAACUGGGCGUUAAGUUGCAGGGUAUAGACCCGAAACCCGGUGAUCUAGCCAUGGGCAGGUUGAAGGUUGGGUAACACUAACUGGAGGACCGAACCGACUAAUGUUGAAAAAUUAGCGGAUGACUUGUGGCUGGGGGUGAAAGGCCAAUCAAACCGGGAGAUAGCUGGUUCUCCCCGAAAGCUAUUUAGGUAGCGCCUCGUGAACUCAUCUUCGGGGGUAGAGCACUGUUUCGGCUAGGGGGUCAUCCCGACUUACCAACCCGAUGCAAACUACGAAUACCGAAGAAUGUUAUCACGGGAGACACACGGCGGGUGCUAACGUCCGUCGUGAAGAGGGAAACAACCCAGACCGCCAGCUAAGGUCCCAAAGUCAUGGUUAAGUGGGAAACGAUGUGGGAAGGCACAGACAGCCAGGAUGUUGGCUUAGAAGCAGCCAUCAUUUAAAGAAAGCGUAAUAGCUCACUGGUCGAGUCGGCCUGCGCGGAAGAUGUAACGGGGCUAAACCAUGCACCGAAGCUGCGGCAGCGACACUAUGUGUUGUUGGGUAGGGGAGCGUUCUGUAAGCCUGCGAAGGUGACCUGUGAGGGUUGCUGGAGGUAUCAGAAGUGCGAAUGCUGACAUAAGUAACGAUAAAGCGGGUGAAAAGCCCGCUCGCCGGAAGACCAAGGGUUCCUGUCCAACGUUAAUCGGGGCAGGGUGAGUCGACCCCUAAGGCGAGGCCGAAAGGCGUAGUCGAUGGGAAACAGGUUAAUAUUCCUGUACUUGGUGUUACUGCGAAGGGGGGACGGAGAAGGCUAUGUUAGCCGGGCGACGGUUGUCCCGGUUUAAGCAUGUAGGCUGGUUAUCCAGGCAAAUCCGGAUAAUCAAGGCUGAGGUGUGAUGACGAGGCACUACGGUGCUGAAGUAACAAAUGCCCUGCUUCCAGGAAAAGCCUCUAAGCAUCAGGUAACAUCAAAUCGUACCCCAAACCGACACAGGUGGUCAGGUAGAGAAUACCAAGGCGCUUGAGAGAACUCGGGUGAAGGAACUAGGCAAAAUGGUGCCGUAACUUCGGGAGAAGGCACGCUGGUGUGUAGGUGAAGCCCCUGCGGGUGGAGCUGAGACCAGUCGAAGAUACCAGCUGGCUGCAACUGUUUAUUAAAAACACAGCACUGUGCAAACACGAAAGUGGACGUAUACGGUGUGACGCCUGCCCGGUGCCGGAAGGUUAAUUGAUGGGGUUAUCCGUAAGGAGAAGCUCUUGAUCGAAGCCCCGGUAAACGGCGGCCGUAACUAUAACGGUCCUAAGGUAGCGAAAUUCCUUGUCGGGUAAGUUCCGACCUGCACGAAUGGCGUAAUGAUGGCCAGGCUGUCUCCACCCGAGACUCAGUGAAAUUGAACUCGCUGUGAAGAUGCAGUGUACCCGCGGCAAGACGGAAAGACCCCGUGAACCUUUACUAUAGCUUGACACUGAACAUUGAGCCUUGAUGUGUAGGAUAGGUGGGAGGCUUUGAAGCGUGGACGCCAGUCUGCGUGGAGCCAACCUUGAAAUACCACCCUUUAAUGUUUGAUGUUCUAACGUUGGCCCCUGACCGGGGUUGCGGACAGUGUCUGGUGGGUAGUUUGACUGGGGCGGUCUCCUCCCAAAGCGUAACGGAGGAGCACGAAGGUUAGCUAAUCCUGGUCGGACAUCAGGAGGUUAGUGCAAUGGCAUAAGCUAGCUUGACUGCGAGCGUGACGGCGCGAGCAGGUGCGAAAGCAGGUCAUAGUGAUCCGGUGGUUCUGAAUGGAAGGGCCAUCGCUCAACGGAUAAAAGGUACUCCGGGGAUAACAGGCUGAUACCGCCCAAGAGUUCAUAUCGACGGCGGUGUUUGGCACCUCGAUGUCGGCUCAUCACAUCCUGGGGCUGAAGUAGGUCCCAAGGGUAUGGCUGUUCGCCAUUUAAAGUGGUACGCGAGCUGGGUUUAGAACGUCGUGAGACAGUUCGGUCCCUAUCUGCCGUGGGCGCUGGAGAAUUGAGGGGGGCUGCUCCUAGUACGAGAGGACCGGAGUGGACGCAUCACUGGUGUUCGGGUUGUCAUGCCAAUGGCACUGCCCGGUAGCUAAAUGCGGAAGAGAUAAGUGCUGAAAGCAUCUAAGCACGAAACUUGCCCCGAGAUGAGUUCUCCCUGAGACUUUAAGUCUCCUGAAGGAACGUUGAAGACGACGACGUUGAUAGGCCGGGUGUGUAAGCGCAGCGAUGCGUUGAGCUAACCGGUACUAAUGAACCGUGAGGCUUAACC
rnacentral:rRNA from 1 species